CCUACGGGUGGCAGCAGUGGGGAAUAUUGGACAAUGGGCGCAAGCCUGAUCCAGCCAUGCCGCGUGAGUGAUGAAGGCCUUAGGGUUGUAAAGCUCUUUCGACGGGGACGCGGUACCCGUAGAAGAAGCCCCGGCUAACUUCGUGCCAGCAGCCGCGGUAAUACGAAGGGGGCUAGCGUUGCUCGGAAUCACUGGGCGUAAAGGGUGCGUAGGCGGAUUUCUAAGUCAGGGGUGAAAGCCUGAGGCUCAACCUCAGAACUGCCUUUGAUACUGGAAGUCUUGAGACCGGAAGAGGUAAGUGGAACUGCGAGUGUAGAGGUGAAAUUCGUAGAUAUUCGCAAGAACACCAGUGGCGAAGGCGGCUUACUGGUCGGUCUGACGCUGAGGCACGAAAGCGUGGGGAGCAAACAGGAUUAGAUACCCUUGUAGUC
rnacentral:rRNA from 1 species